UACGUAGGGUGCAAGCGUUGUCCGGAAUUAUUGGGCGUAAAGAGCUCGUAGGCGGUCUGUCGCGUCUGCUGUGAAAACUCAGGGCUUAACCCUGAGCUUGCAGUGGGUAGGCGGAGACUAGAGUGCGGUAGGGGAGACUGGAAUUCCUGGUGUAGCGGUGAAAUGCGCAGAUAUCAGGAGGAACACCGGUGGCGAAGGCGGUGAUCUGGGCCGACACUGACACUGAAUCGCGGAAAGCGUGGGGAGCGAACAGG
rnacentral:rRNA from 1 species